AGCAGUAGCCGCGGGAAUACGAGGGGGGCAAGCGUUGUUCGGAAUUAUUGGGCGUAAAGGGCGCGUAGGCGGUUUCUUAAGUCUGAUGUGAAAGCCCCCGGCUCAACCGGGGAGGGUCAUUGGAAACUGGGAAACUUGAGUGCAGAAGAGGAGAGUGGAAUUCCACGUGUAGCGGUGAAAUACGUAGAGAUGUGGAGGAACACCAGUGGCGAAGGCGACUCUCUGGUCUGUAACUGACGCUGAGGAGCGAAAGCGUGGGGAGCGAACAGGAUUAGAUACCCCCGUAGUCCCUGUCUCUUAUAU
rnacentral:rRNA from 1 species